rnacentral:SRP_RNA from 1 species
GAGCUCAGUAGCGUAAGAUUGUGACCCAAGUGGGAGCAACAAGAUGAUUUGAAAAAGUCAAAUCCUCAGUACUAUUGUGUCAAGGGCUGAAGAUUUGGCUUGUCCCAAUCAUCUUG